GCCAGUGUGGCUCAGUGGAUAGGGCGUCGGCCUGAGGAUCCAAGGGUCCCGGGUUCGAUUCCGGUCAAGGGCA
rnacentral:tRNA from 1 species